UAAGAAUGUGGUUGACUGGGCUUGCAUCCC
rnacentral:piRNA from 1 species